CCACGGAUCAUGUCUUCUGCUCAGGCUUGAGCCUAGUCUCCCUGGUCCUGUGGGAUGAUAUCCCAGCUCUGAGUGGGCUCAUGGGCUCCUAGCAUGUCAUCUUUGAUGACCUCCAGCCAGCCUUGCUCCUGGAGAGACAAAGUGUUGGCCAUUGGUCCUUGCUGGUCUUUGGAGCUCUCUGCAGCUCUUCCAAGGGGAGAAGGGGCCAUUCCUGCACCCUGCAAUGCCUAGGAAGAUCCAGGCACUACCAGUGACGUAUUCGGAAUUAACAGAAAAAGGGUAUGGACAAGGUGCAGUGGCAGAUGCAAAUUUCAGAGCAGGUACUCUAAGUCUGGUGGGCUGUCUGUGGCAUUCCCUGUACUUACAACCAGCAAGCAAGCCAGCAAGACUGUUUCAUGCAUGCAGUCAUAUGGCUCAGAGUAUUUUCUGA
rnacentral:lncRNA from 14 species